rnacentral:rRNA from 1 species
GAUGAACGCUGGCGGCGUGCUUAACACAUGCAAGUCGAGCGAGAAGUUUUGAAAAGAUUCUUCGGAUGAAAUUUAAAAUGGAAAGCGGCGGACGGGUGAGUAACGCGUAGGCAACCUGCCCCAUACAAAGGGAUAGCAUUUGGAAACGAAUAUUAAUACCUUAUGAAACUUAACUAGUGCAUGCUAGGUAGGUCAAAGAUUUAUCGGUAUGGGAUGGGCCUGCGUCUGAUUAGCUAGUUGGUGAGGUAACGGCUCACCAAGGCGACGAUCAGUAGCCGACCUGAGAGGGUGAACGGCCACAUUGGAACUGAGACACGGUCCAAACUCCUACGGGAGGCAGCAGUGGGGAAUAUUGCACAAUGGGGGAAACCCGGAUGCAGCAACGCCGCGUGAACGAUGAAGGCCUUUGGGGCGUAAAGUUCUGUUCUAGGUGAUGAAAACUGACAGUAACCUAGGAGAAAGCCCCGGCUAACUCCGUG